GAUGAACGCUAGCGGCAGGCUUAAUACAUGCAAGUCGAACGGGAUUCAGGGUAGCAAUACUUUGAUGAGAGUGGCGCACGGGUGCGUAACGCGUAUGCAACCUACCUUUAACAGGUGAAUAGCCCCGAGAAAUCGGGAUUAAUACACCGUAACAUUGCGGGAUGGCAUCAUUCUGCAAUUAAAGAUUUAUCGGUUAAAGAUGGGCAUGCGUGACAUUAGCUAGUUGGUGAGGUAACGGCUCACCAAGGCAACGAUGUCUAGGGGUCCUGAGAGGGUUAUCCCCCACACUGGUACUGAGACACGGACCAGACUCCUACGGGAGGCAGCAGUAAGGAAUAUUGGGUCAAUGGGCGGAAGCCUGAACCAGCCAUGCCGCGUGCAGGAAGACGGCCCUAAUGGGUUGUAAAACUGCUUUUGUCAGGGAAUAAACCUGCCCUAGUGUAGGCAGCUGAAGGUACCUGAAGAAU
rnacentral:rRNA from 1 species